GGGAGUGGAUGGGUCCUGGUGGACCUCCUGGUCUUCAAAACCAGUUGACGGGCCAAAAGCCCGUGGUGGGUUCGAUUCCCACACACUCCCGCCA
rnacentral:tRNA from 1 species